GUGCUAAUUUUUCUAACCUUAACCGACCACCAAGCAUAAGACCACCAUGAAUGGCCUUGUGAGCCAUACCAACGCCCCAUUCAACUCUAGGAAUAGUUAAAAACUCACCAGCGCCAAAGUAAUUAACGUUACCAAUUUUGCCUCCUGGUCUUAAAACCUUAAUCGCUGUUUCUAAGAUAGUCGAACCACCACCAGAAAUUAACACCUUUUCCACUCCUUCAUUGU
rnacentral:sRNA from 1 species